UAGGGAAUCUUCGGCAAUGGACGAAAGUCUGACCGAGCAACGCCGCGUGAGUGAAGAAGGUUUUCGGAUCGUAAAACUCUGUUGUUAGAGAAGAACAAGGACGUUAGUAACUGAACGUCCCCUGACGGUAUCUAACCAGAAAGCCACGGCUAACUACGUGCCAGCAGCCGCGGUAAUACGUAGGUGGCAAGCGUUGUCCGGAUUUAUUGGGCGUAAAGCGAGCGCAGGCGGUUUCUUAAGUCUGAUGUGAAAGCCCCCGGCUCAACCGGGGAGGGUCAUUAGAAACUGGGAGACUUGAGUGCAGAAGAGGGGAGUGGAAUUCCAUGUGUAGCGGUGAAAUGCGUAGAUAUAUGGAGGAUCACCAGUGGCGAAGGCGGCUCUCUGGUCUAUAACUAACGCUGAGGCUCGAAAGCGUGGGGAGCAAACAGG
rnacentral:rRNA from 1 species